rnacentral:pre_miRNA from 1 species
CGUACCCGAUACUCGAUGGGUUUGAGUUUAUUGUCUCAUCCUCGUACUCGUCGGGUAUCGGGUAUC